AUUCAAACCAUAUGUUGCAAAAAGUUGGAGCUACUGAGCUUCAAUGGUGUCGGUGAUGGUGUCUGGUUUACUGCCCAGUUCAGAGAGGCUGGAGAGGCUAGAGCUGGAGUCACUGCGGCUAUGGCUACGGCUCCUGUGGUGGCGACACCUGAAAGAUCCGACAUGGGUUGUGGGCGAGCAAAGGCAAUUGGCCCUGGCACUAGAUGGCUUUGCAGUGCAACUUUGGGCAGUUGGUGACAGUGGGGAAGCAAAGGUUAAGUGAAUGAAAAAGAGUAGCAGAGGCAGGUGGUCACCUGAAAAAAGUUGCAAGGCAAUUCAACCCAAAGGUCUUCGGAUGGUCUCCUGAGGAGAUGAAUGGGAGAGAGCCCAAAUUAAAGUGGGGUUUCUUCUUUUCUUUUUAAGUGCAUAGAAAUAUGAGAUUCAAAUGAGAAUAUGAACCAAAUUCAGAGAUGCUGUUAGUAGCUUAAUUUUAGAUUUCCAACUA